ACUAUCUUAGCAUGUAAUCUUUCAUCCACCAAAAUCCGGCGUAGCUCUAAUUAUUUGGCUUCUUUCUUCAUAGAUAGAUUAACAACUAAUCUACGACUGUUAAGUGUGUUAGGGAACAACGACGUGCCUUAAUUUUUUAUGAUAAGAAAAUGAACGUUUCGAAUUGCAGUGGAUUUACAACAAGAUAUCUAUAUUACUUUUUUUAGAUGGAUCACCAUUGGAUAUAAGAGAGAGAUCUCACGAAUCCGACGAAGUCUUCAUCUCUGACGAAACCGAAGAACUCUCAUUAGAACAUGGUUGCCUCAAAACCGCAGCCUGCGACGCUGCCAAAGGAACGUGUCAAAGGGCAGCUUGCACUGUGCUACAGAAGAAGAUCAAAGGAGGAUGCACAGGCAGUGUGUGUCAGUGCUGUGCCCCCAGAGGUUGUGACCCUCAACCUAAAUGCAAGAAAUUUGGUGGAUUUUGUGCCCUAGCGUGCGGGCCCGGCCUGCAAGUGCUCCCAGGGGGCUGCACCGGAACGUGCAGCUGCUGUG